UCAAAACACUGGUUCCUGUACGAUCACCGAAGUUAAGCAACAUUGUGUCUGGUCAAUACCUAGAAGGGUGACCUCUAGGGAAUAUCAUGUGCUGUAAG